rnacentral:rRNA from 1 species
UACGUAGGGGGCAAGCGUUGUCCGGAUUUAUUGGGCGUAAAGAGCGUGUAGGCGGUUAGGUAGGCCGUUGUGAAAACUCGAGGCUCAACCUCGAGACGCCGAUGGAAACCAUCUGACUAGAGUCCGGAAGAGGAGACGUAGUACUUCGGUGUAGCGGUGAAAUGCGCAGAUAUCAGGAGGAACACCGGUGGCGAAGGCGGGUCUCUGGGCCGAUACUGACGCUGAGGAGCGAAAGCGUGGGGAGCGAACAGG